rnacentral:lncRNA from 1 species
CCCUUCAGAGGCAGUUCAUACCAAGGCUGCUCUCUGACAACAGGUGCUGCUGUUGCAUAAAGAAAAACCCCUCCCAAGAGAAGAAUGGCCGGGGUAGAAUAGAAGGAUGACCUCCAAUGGAGCCCAGCACAAUCCUUGAAAUAAUCUGUCAGCAUUUUUCUCUUCCCACCAAGAAUCUCUGGGGAGAAGGCAGGGGGUCACUGAGAGGCACUCUCCUGCCUGCCCUCCAGAAACACUUGAGGGCCAGGUGUCUCCUGCCAAGUAAGUGGGGGAGAGAAGUAUAGCUCAAAGAGAUAUUUACUUUCCUGUUGAAUGAACAAUGUUGAAUGAGCAAGAUCAGUCUACAAGGAUGAAAACGCAGCCCUGUCCUGCUAAAACAAAUAGAUAAGAAAUUAGCUCUUCAAAAGUUUUUCAACCUCCAGGAGAAGCAAUGGAGCUUAAUUCCUUCUGUCACUCACUCCCCUCUCAGGAGGGGACAUUUU